rnacentral:RNase_P_RNA from 1 species
AAGUGCAACAGAAAAUAUACCGCCGGACAGAUGUUCGGUAAGGGUGAAAUGGCGAGGUAAAGGCUCACCGCCGUUCGGGUAACCGGACGGGCAAGGCAAACCCCAUCGGGAGCAAGGUCAAGCAGGAGUCAGGCAGUCCGAGCCGUUAUGAACUCCGGGUCGAUCGCAGGAAAGGACGGGCAACCGUUCUUCAAGAUAAAUGACCGUUACAUUCAGCACACGCCGAAUGAACAGAACCCGGCUUAUAGUCUUGCUGUAUUU